rnacentral:rRNA from 1 species
UGGGGAAUUUUCCGCAAUGGGCGAAAGCCUGACGGAGCAAUGCCGCGUGGAGGUGGAAGGCCUACGGGUCGUCAACUUCUUUUCUCGGAGAAGAAACAAUGACGGUAUCUGAGGAAUAAGCAUCGGCUAACUCUGUGCCCA